GAUGAACGCUGGCGGCGUGCCUAAUACAUGCAAGUCGAGCGAACAGACGAGGAGCUUGCUCCUCUGACGUUAGCGGCGGACGGGUGAGUAACACGUGGAUAACCUACCUAUAAGACUGGGAUAACUUCGGAAAACCGGAGCUAAUACCGGAUAAUAUAUUGAACCGCAUGGUUCAAUAGUGAAAGACGGUUUUGCUGUCACUUAUAGAUGGAUCCGCGCCGCAUUAGCUAGUUGGUAAGGUAACGGCUUACCAAGGCGACGAUGCGUAGCCGACCUGAGAGGGUGAUCGGCCACAUUGGAACUGAGACACGGUCCAGACUCCUACGGGAGGCAGCAGUAGGGAAUCUUCCGCAAUGGGCGAAAGCCUGACGGAGCAACGCCGCGUGAGUGAUGAAGGUCUUCGGAUCGUAAAACUCUGUUAUUAGGGAAGAACAAAUGUGUAAGUAACUAUGCACGUCUUGACGGUACCUAAUCAGAAAGCCACGGCUAACUACGUG
rnacentral:rRNA from 1 species